UGAUAUUAUUUGGGAUAAAACAAAAACUAAUUUCAUCAAUAUAUAGUGUGUUGUUUGUAAGAAAUAACAAAAAUAUGGAUAAAAUUGAAUUAUCUGCAUAUCUAUUCAUUCACUGUGCUAUAUUGUAUGCAUAGAGAAAGAAUAAAGUGCGUGGGAGUAGAAGAUAGAUACAUCUCAUUAUAAAGUAUAAACCACCUAACACUACACAGUGAAGUGUACAAUUAUGAAGAUUGUGGAAGAAAAUUGGCUUUAUGUUUGGGUUUUUGUUACUUUCGGGAUGAUAAAGGUUGAAGACGCAUCACGCAUGUUUGAAGAGAAAUUGACGAAUAGAAGGAGCAGAUUGGGAAAAAUGAUACUGGGAGGAGUCUCAAAACUCAUAAGAUUAGCAUGAAGCUUCUUUCUUUCAUUCAUAAAAAAGGGGAUUAGCAACGAUGUGAAGGUGAGAAGCAAGGAAACAAAUUAAAGGCAUUGCAAUGGACUGGGUACUCU
rnacentral:lncRNA from 1 species